rnacentral:lncRNA from 1 species
AGAGAUUUGGAUGUCUUUCGGACAAAUGAAAGCAUAUAAUUAAUGAGGGUUUACAGAUUUAAGGGAUCACAUGGAAGCCUUUUGGCAUGUGACAGCUCCUUUUGGGUUUUUGGUUCCACCCUUUAUCUCUUUUCCAUGAAGCCCAACUGAGUGCCUCUCACUUCCUUCUUCCUACCACCUAGAAUAUCUCAGUUUUAUUCCACCAUUUUCUUCCAGGGUUCUCUUCAUUCAUUUGCAUGGUCUCUUAUUCUCUCUCUUCUCCCUGUUCAUCCUCAUCUAUUUGUUGCUAGUCCUGCUGUCUUUCCUGGUCACAAAGAAGCAAUCCAUGGUUUGAAGCACCAAGUUCUAUUUUUCUCGUGAAGGAACAAAAAAUCAUAUAGAUCUAACUGAUUCUUUUUCUCUACUGU